GUUUGUACUUGUUCAGGUGUCGUGAGUCUCAUCGAGUGAUCAGUUACACUUCUGAACACUGAGCCGCAAGAAAAAAAGCAUGAGGACUCACUGGAUGUGCUGGACGUGCUUCCAGUCUUCCAGCCGCCUCUCUGGAUAAGAUGAGCCGCUGGAGGAGGCGGCACCGCCGCCGUUCUGGGUGCUGGCUCGUACACAGAACACUCCAUGGUCACAUUUGUGCCCCAGUAUAAGUUCCUCUGCAUCGGAGCACUUAUCUCAAAAUCUAAGAGGGGAGAGACCACAUCAAAUAUAAGCAUUUUUUUAAAAAAACAGGAUGUGAUUUUCCGCUGUGUGCUGACAAUAUUCAUCUGUCAAAUAUGCUUAUAGUCGGUUCAUUUUGGAGAUGUAUAUUAAAGCUGCA